rnacentral:ncRNA from 1 species
AGACUGGGGACUAUGAAAUAUAUCCUUUAUGUGGGCACCUUGGGUAUAUGGAGUCAGUGGUGCAACCGACCUCAU